AACGAACGCUGGCGGCAGGCUUAACACAUGCAAGUCGAACGCCCGUAGCAAUACGGGAGUGGCGGACGGGUGAGUAACGCGUGGGAACGUGCCCUAAGGUACAGAAUAACUGCGGGAAACUGCAGCUAAUACCGUAUGUGCCCGAAAGGGGAAAGAUUUAUCGCCUUAGGAGCGGCCCGCGUCGGAUUAGCUAGUUGGUGGGGUAACGGCCUACCAAGGCUUCGAUCCGUAGCUGGUCUGAGAGGACGAUCAGCCACACUGGGACUGAGACACGGCCCAGACUCCUACGGGAGGCAGCAGUGGGGAAUCUUGCGCAAUGGGCGAAAGCCUGACGCAGCCAUGCCGCGUGAACGAUGAAGGCCUUAGGGUUGUAAAGUUCUUUUGCCCGUGACGAUGAUGACGGUAACGGGAGAAUAAGCUCCGGCUAACUUCGUGCCAGCCGCCGCAGUAACAC
rnacentral:rRNA from 1 species